rnacentral:rRNA from 1 species
GACGAACGCUGGCGGCGUGCCUAACACAUGCAAGUCGAGCGGAGUCGAUCGACGGAAGCCUUCGGGCGGAAGAUGGUUGACUUAGCGGCGGAUGGGUGAGUAACGCGUGGGCAACCUGCCUCGAAGACCGGGAUAACAGCCCGAAAGGGCUGCUAAUACCGGAUGUGGUCAAGGAUCCGCAUGGAUUUUGAUUAAAGGGGAAACCCGUUUCGAGAUGGGCCCGCGUCCUAUCAGCUAGUUGGUGAGGUAAAAGCUCACCAAGGCGACGACGGGUAGCCGGCCUGAGAGGGUGACCGGCCACACUGGAACUGAGACACGGUCCAGACUCCUACGGGGGGCAGCAGUGGGGAAUCUUCCACAAUGGGCGAAAGCCUGAUGGAGCGACGCCGCGUGAGCGAAGAAGGCCUUCGGGUUGUAAAGCUCUGUCUGGAGGGACGAAGGAAGUGACGGUACCUCCGGAGGAAGCCACGGCUAACUACGUG